UACGUAGGGGGCAAGCGUUGUCCGGAAUCAUUGGGCGUAAAGAGCGUGUAGGCGGCUCGAUAAGUCUGCUGUGAAAGUCCAGGGCUCAACCCUGGAAGGCCGGUGGAAACUGUCGGGCUAGAGUCCGGAAGAGGAGAAUGGAAUUCCCGGUGUAGCGGUGAAAUGCGCAGAUAUCGGGAAGAACACCCGUGGCGAAGGCGGUUCUCUGGGACGGUACUGACGCUGAGACGCGAAAGCGUGGGGAGCGAACAGG
rnacentral:rRNA from 1 species